rnacentral:rRNA from 1 species
AGGAAAGGUGAAAAGGACCCCGGGAGGGGAGUGAAAGAGAACCUGAAACCCUGUGUUUACAAGCUGCGGAAGUGCCUUACGAGCACGACCGCGUACUUUUUGUAGAACGGUCCGGCGAGUUUCAUUUACUGGCGAGGUUAAGGACAGAAAGUCCGGAGCCGAAGGGAAACCAAGUCUUAACAGCGCGUAGAGUCAGUAUGUGAACACCCGAAACCGGGUGAUCUAUCCAUGACCAGGCUGAAGCUGCCGUAAAAGGCGGUGGAGGGCCGAAGCCACAUCCGUUGAAAAGGGUGGGCAUGAGUUGUGGAUAGGGGAGAAAUUCCAAUCGAACCCGGAGAUAGCUGGUUCUCCUCGAAAUAGCUUUAGGGUUAGCCUCGGAACAGUCUUACGGAGGUAGAGCACUGAAUACUCUAGGGGGCGUCAAAGCCUACCGAAAGUUAUCAAACUCCGAAUGCCGUCAAGAUGNNCCGGCUAAGGUCCCAAAGUGCGUGUUAAGUGGAUAAGGAUGUGGGAUUUCACAGACAACCAGGAUGUUGGCUCAGAAGCAGCCACACAUUUAAAGAGUGCGUAAUAGCUCACUGGUCGAGUGGUCCUGCGCCGAAAAUGUCCGGGGCUAAAACACGACACCGAAGCCGAGGGUUCAUACAUAGUAUGAGUGGUAGAGGAGCAUUGUGUGCUCAGCGAAGCUGUACCGUAAGGAGCAGUGGAGGGCUCAGAAGAGAGAAUGCCGGAAUGAGUAGCGAGAGGAAGGUGAGAAUCCUUCCGGCCGAAUAUCCAAGGAUUCCAGGGUAAAGCUGAUCUGCCCUGGGUAAGUCGGGGCCUAAGGCGAGGCCGAGAGGCGUAGCCGAUGGACAACAGGUUGAGAUUCCUGUACCGCAUGAUAUCAGAACUGUGGGGACGCAGGAGGAUAACGUGAGCCGGGAAUGGAAAGACCGGUGCAAGCGCAAAGGCUGAAGCGGUUGGCAAAUCCGCCGCAGGAAAGCUGAAGCGUUACGCGGAGCGAACUUAAAGUAGCGAAGCCCGUGAAUCCACACUGCCGAGAAAAGCCGCUAUUGUGUAUCAUGUGCCCGUACCGUAAACCGACACAGGUGGAUGAGGAGAGAAUCCUAAGGCCGACGGAAGAAGCAUUGUUAAGGAACUCGGCAAAAUGACCCCGUAACUUCGGGAGAAGGGGUGCCUGCGAGAGCAGGCCGCAGAGAAAUGGCCCAAGCAACUGUUUAGCAAAAACACAGGUCUAUGCGAAACCGAAAGGUGAAGUAUAUGGGCUGACGCCUGCCCGGUGCUGGAAGGUUAAGGGGAGCGGUUAGCGCAAGCGAAGCUGUGAACUUAAGCCCCAGUAAACGGCGGCCGUAACUAUAACGGUCCUAAGGUAGCGAAAUUCCUUGUCAGGUAAGUUCUGACCCGCACGAA